CCACGCCGAGGCUCCACCCCUCCUUAGGGCAGAGGAGGAAACAGAUUCAGAUGGCAAAGGCAGGUAAGUAGCUAAGUCAGGAUUCAAACCCAGGACUCCAGAGGCUAACAACCCUCACUGCCUCUGUCUUGUCCUGGGCCAGCCCCAACAGCAUCUGUUGGCAGAGGUGUCAAAGGAGACGUUGGAGACAUUAUCUUGGAUCCAGGAAAUGAAGGGAUUCACAGAAAACGGGACGUGCUACUUUACCAGCACAUCACUGGGGGUAGGAGAUGAGGUCAGAGAACUCGC
rnacentral:lncRNA from 1 species